CCUACGGGAGGCAGCAGUGAGGAAUAUUGGUCAAUGGGCGCGAGCCUGAACCAGCCAAGUCGCGUGAGGGAAGACGGUCCUAUGGAUUGUAAACCUCUUUUGUCGGGGAGCAAAAGACGCCACGCGUGGCGUUCCGAGAGUACCCGAAGAAAAAGCAUAGGCUAACUCCGUGCCAGCAGCCGCGGUAAUACGGAGGAUGCGAGCGUUUUCCGGAUUUAUUGGGUUUAAAGGGUGCGCAGGCGGAAGAUGAAGUCAGCGGUAAAAUUGAGAGGCUCAACCUCUUCGAGCCGUUGAAACUGGUUGUCUUGAGUGAGUGAGAAGUAUGCGGAAUGCGUGGUGUAGCGGUGAAAUGCAUAGAUAUCACGCAGAACUCCGAUUGCGAAGGCAGCAUACCGGCGCUCAACUGACGCUCAUGCACGAAAGUGUGGGUAUCGAACAGGAUUAGAUACCCGAGUAGUC
rnacentral:rRNA from 1 species